rfam:Ipomoea nil DNA, scaffold: scaffold3056, cultivar: Tokyo-kokei standard.
UCUGUUGUAGUCUAGUUGGCUAGGAUACUCGGCUCUUGCUCGAAAGACCCGGGUACAAUUCCCGGCAACGAAA